GGAAAACUCACCCGGUCCGGACACUGUGAGGAUUGACAGAUUGAUAGCUCUUUCUUGAUUCGGUGGGUGGUGGUGCAUGGCCGUUCUUAGUUGGUGGAGCGAUUUGUCUGGUUAAUUCCGAUAACGAACGAGACUCUGGCCUGCUAAAUAGGCCGCCGGUUUCCCUCACCCUGUGUGUGCGCGCCGGCGGGACUUCUUAGAGGGACAAGCGGCGUAUAGCCGCGCGAGAUUGAGCAAUAACAGGUCUGUGAUGCCCUUAGAUGUCCGGGGCCGCACGCGCGCUACACUGAAGGGAUCAGCGUGGCCGCCUCCCUUGCCCGAGAGGGCUGGGAAACCCGUUGAAUCCCCUUCGUGCUAGGGAUCGGGGCUUGUAAUUGUUCCCCGUGAACGAGGAAUUCCCAGUAAGCGCGGGUCAUAAGCCCGCGUUGAUUACGUCCCUGCCCUUUGUACACACCGCCCGUCGCUACUAUCGAUUGAGCGGUUCAGUGAGGGCAUCGGAUCGGUCGCGGCCUGGGCUUCGCGGCCCGGCGCUCGCGCGCCGAGAA
rnacentral:rRNA from 1 species